UUAAAAAGCUCGUAGUUGAACCUUGGACCUGGCUGAUCUGUCCUCCUAAUCGAGCGCACGGAUUCGGUCGGGUCUUUCCUCCUGGGGAGCCCUAUGCCCUUCACUGGGUGUAGUGGGGAACCAGGACUUUUACCUUGAAAAAAUUAGAGUGUUCAAAGCAGGCCUUUGCUCGAAUACAUUAGCAUGGAAUAAUAGAAUAGGACAUCGGUUCUAUUUUGUUGGUUUCUAGGACCGCUGUAAUGAUUAAUAGGGAUAGUCGGGGG
rnacentral:rRNA from 1 species